UUUUUGUUCCAUUACCUCCCUCUCCACAUGAGUAAGUCCUGUCUUGCUUUAAGAUUCAGAUCAUAUUUCAACUUCUUUGUGAAAACAUCCCUGGUCAAUACACCUAUCUUUGCUGUGAUUGUAUCUUAUACAUCAUCUAUCACUAUUACACCUACUUCUGACUGCUGUUACUACCCCUGCCACUAACAACAACGAUCAUUUUGAAUUCGGACAUUGAACUAGAUGCUCUGCAGCUCAGUAAUCCUCACAACUCCCCAUCACACUUGAUGUAAUCAUUUCCACUUACUGGAGAAGAGAACCAAAGCUCCGAAAGGAUAAAUGACUCACCCAACAUUGCAGAACGAAUAACUGGCAGAACUGGUAUUCACACUGAGGUGUUUGGGUGUACAAGCCAUACUUUUUCUUUACAUCACCAUCACAGGGCUUAGCACACGGCGUAUUAACUGUGUGUGUAAACCUCUCUCCUGCCGGCAUGUGGGCUCCUUGAAGGCAGGGGCUGCAUCUUCCCUGGUAUGACAGGAGGGCUGGUUUGUCUGACAGUCUCAGUCCCCACUUGGUUACCAUGGUGCUGAAAGGAUGAGUACAUUUUGGCUUCUGUUGUGUGCUUAAUCUGAAAGAUUAACAAACUAUUUCUUAAAGGGCCAGAUAGCAAAUAUUUUUAGGCGUGGGUGCUAUAAGAUCUCUCUUGUAGACUCUGCCAUUGUAGCAUGGAAAUAGUUAUAGAUAGUACGGGAACAAACGAGAGUGGCUGUGUUUCAAUAAAGCUUCCUUUGCAAAAGCAGACACCCAGCCUGGGAGUCCUAUGCGCUUACCCGUAUUUAUAUGAACGUUAUGCUUUGGAGCUUUGAGUUCUUUUAAGUUUUAAGGAAGUUGUAAGGGAGCAAGACUUUAUUCCUUCUCCUCUUAGGUCAUCAGCUGGUACUCUUAACAAAAAGAAUGAACAAGGGGAGAACUAUUAAAGCAUGCAGUGUACGUGAUGUGGGAGAAACCUGCCCAAAAGUCACUCAAGUGGCGGCUGAGAUUCCAGCUUAUCUGGCAUCUUCCGUGGGGCAGAACAUAUUUUUUUUUUGAGAAAGGACAGGACAAAGGGAAGCGGCCUCUGAGAAGGAACUUCCUGAGAUCACCAGAGACCAUCUGGGUUACAACAGUCCCCUCUAUGAAGUACAGAGAACAGUCACUAGACAGGAUGGGUUUGGACCAACCUAGGUCAGAGGUAUGAGAUUGUGGCUGAGACAAGGACUGGGUUCAGAGGUGGGACUCAGAAGUGGAUCAGGCCCUUCCUUAUAUAACAGUCACCUGUCAUAACUGCUCAGCUCUGUAUACAUUUCCUUUAUUUUU